AUCAGAUCUGACUUCCAAUUCCAAGCGAGAAAGCGAGAGAGCGAGAGGAAGUCUGAGAGAGUAGAGAACUCCUAGGUUCCGUCGCUCGCGUCUCUGGGUAGACGACAUUCGAGAAUGGAGCCCUAUGGCAAAAUACGAACCCUAAAUCAUUUUCAUUGCCUUGUCAGGAGCUUGAUCCGGAUACGAAUAAGGCCAUGAUUUAGGGUUUCGGAUGGUGCAAGGAGAACGGUGAGAUUGUUGGUCUCUGCGUCGACGAUGAAGAUGACAACAAUCCAGAAUGUAGCCAUGUCGCGCGGAUCACGAUCUGUCUCAGAUUACGGUAAGAGUCUGAAUCACUGAUUUAAACCCUAAUUUUGAGUGCUAGAUUUACACUAGUAGCAAGAAUCCAUUUUAUACCUGUUUGGAGAAAAAGAAAAGGUUCAAUUUCCCCUAUGUAGGCAGUUUUUGACUAUUUUUUAAUCGGAAUAUUUUGAUUAGUUUCUGAUGUAAAAUACUUGAAAUUUGUGUUCAUAUAUAUAUCUAACUUUGUUUUUACUUUAGCCUCUGUGCUUAAUAUUUAAACACUACUUUUGGAGUUUCAACCAUUGUUAAGUUGAUUGAAAACGAGCAUUCGGUUUUCAAUUUGUCUACGGAACAUGCACGAAUAACUCCCUAGGGUAUUAUGCGCUUUAGGUUUUCAUUUUAUAAGUUGGACAGUUUUUUAGUUCUAUAUUGUUUAGGGCUUAAGAGUUAUAUUAUGGAUUACUUUUUAAGUAUCUGUAGAUUCCAUUAUGGAGCUCGCCUCAUAUGAUGUGGUGGUUUGCUGGCCUUCUGGUCAAUGAUGCUUAUAAUGCGUAAAGUCUCACAUUUUGAUGUCUAGUCAUGCAUCCAAGCAGGUUAUCUUACCUGACGGUCAUGCAUCCACUUUUAGCACACCCAUUCUCUUUCCCACACCUUACUCGGACAGGAUCUGUUCUAUAGUAAUCGUACCUCUGUAUCCUUGAUUUCUAAGGAGACAGGAAUCGUAAUAAUCUACAUGCUUGGCUUCUGUUUGAUGCGUCUAGUACAUGUGUGUGUGUGUAUAUAUGAAUCAUUAAUGGCUGGCAUUUUUACAUUUCUAUGCACAAAAUUGAUUUGGUAAUGAGAAAAGGCCCUUUAUAUUCUUGGCAGACUUUAGUUUCCCCCCUUUUCUUCUUUGUGGUUCUUAUUCCUUAUUGAUGAAUGUGCAGGUCAUACAUUUAACCGAGCCCACUGAGCCUCAUUGACGUUCGAGUUUGGUUAUGGGAUGUUACAUUUUACGGAUGGGUUUCCUUCAAACAAUGUACCAGUUGCUUAACGUUGUUUCAGAGGUUUCUGUCCUGCCUCUAUAAUGCAUUCAUUCUUCCUUUUUUCUUGCUCCAACUAAAGUUUCUUGUUUAAUUAAAAAAAACCUUUUUAAAAAAAAAUUUGAGGCAUGAAAGUGAUAUCAUUUGGUUUUACGUUACUUGAUUUUUUCUUUGGGUCGCUAUCCAAGUGUGUGACACUUUGUUCUACUUCGACUUACUUCUUUCUCAUUGGUCUUGCAGGCGUUUUUCAAAUUUCCGUCAUUGUUUGCAGUUUUUUUUCCGCAUUGCAUGGUCUCUUUGUGUGUGUGUGUGUGUGUGUCUCUCUCUCUCUCUCUCUCUCUCUCUCUCUCUCUCACAUCUCUCAUCCGUCUCCUCAUAUCUCCUUUCAUAAGUUUCGGUUUAGGCGGUGGGAAAAUGAAGGCAAAGGAUGAAAGUCAAAUGAGAAAGAGGAUUGGAGUUGAAGCACAGCUGGCAUGGUUUUUCCAAGUGUUUUUUAAUCUCUUUUUUGUUUAGUUUGUUUUAGUUCUAUGAUUGAGUAUUUCGAAUUUUUUUUUUUUUUUUCAAUUUGCAGUCGAUAUUUUAAUUUCUUUUAAAAUGGAAACGUCAUUACAUGUUAGGAGUUACACACUGGAUGACUGAAUGGUCGGCCCCAAAAUCCCAGUAGGUCUGGUGACUCCCAGUAGGUCCGAUUCCGUGUUUCAGUAUCAUCAAAUUUUCUCUAGUAUUGUUGAUGGCGGAUCCAUUCACCAUUACAAACUCAUUAUUUUAAAAAUUG
rnacentral:lncRNA from 1 species